GACGAACGCUGGCGGCGUGCUUAACACAUGCAAGUCGAACGGAAAGGCCUGCUUUCCCUUGUGGAUUGCGGGUACUCGAGUGGCGAACGGGUGAGUAACACGUGAGUGAUCUGCCCCCAACUUGGGUAUAAGCCUGGGAUACUGGGUCUAAUUCCCGAUAGGACUGCAGGGUGGUGCCUGUGGUGGAAAACGAUUUUCUAGUGGUUGGGGAUGAGCUCGCGGCCUAUCAGCUUGUUGGCGGGGUAAUGGCCUACCAAGGCGGGGACGGGUAGCCGGCCUGUGAGGGUGGACAGCCACAUUGGGACUGGGAUACGGCCCAGACGCCUACGGGAGGCAGCAGUGGGGAAUAAUGCACAAUGGGCGGAAGCCUGAUGCAGCGACGCCGCGUGGGGGAUGACGGCCUUCGGGUGGUAAACUCCUUUCGACCGCGAGGAAGCCACCUGGUUGGAAGGGUGGUGACGGUAGUGGUAGAAGAAGCACCGGCUAACUACGUG
rnacentral:rRNA from 1 species